GGCAGACGGGUGAGUAACGCGUGGGAACGUACCCUUUACUACGGAAUAACUCAGGGAAACUUGUGCUAAUACCGUAUGUGCCCUUCGGGGGAAAGAUUUAUCGGUAAAGGAUCGGCCCGCGUUGGAUUAGCUAGUUGGUGGGGUAAAGGCCUACCAAGGCGACGAUCCAUAGCUGGUCUGAGAGGAUGAUCAGCCACAUUGGGACUGAGACACGGCCCAAACUCCUACGGGAGGCAGCAGUGGGGAAUAUUGGACAAUGGGCGCAAGCCUGAUCCAGCCAUGCCGCGUGAGUGAUGAAGGCCCUAGGGUUGUAAAGCUCUUUCACCGGUGAAGAUAAUGACGGUAACCGGAGAAGAAGCCCCGGCUAACUUCGUGCCAGCAGCCGCGGUAAUACGAAGGGGGCUAGCGUUGUUCGGAAUUACUGGGCGUAAAGCGCACGUAGGCGGGUAUUUAAGUCAGGGGUGAAAUCCCAGAGCUCAACUCUGGAACUGCCUUUGAUACUGGGUACC
rnacentral:rRNA from 1 species